rnacentral:rRNA from 1 species
AGAGUUUGAUCCUGGCUCAGAACGAACGCUGGCGGCAGGCUUAAUACAUGCAAGUCGAACGGCUGUAGCAAUACAGCAGUGGCAGACGGGUGAGUAACACGUGGGAACCUACCUAGGGGUACGGAAUAACUCAGGGAAACUUGUGCUAAUACCGUAUACGACCUCAGGGUGAAAGAUUUAUCGCCCCUAGAUGGGCCCGCGCUGGAUUAGCUAGUUGGUGGGGUAAAAGCCUACCAAGGCGACGAUCCAUAGCUGGUCUGAGAGGAUGAUCAGCCACACUGGGACUGAGACACGGCCCAGACUCCUACGGGAGGCAGCAGUAGGGAAUCUUGGACAAUGGGCGAAAGCCUGAUCCAGCCAUGCCGCGUGAGUGAUGAAGGCCUUAGGGUUGUAAAGCUCUUUCGCCAGGGAAGAUAAUGACGGUACCUGGAUAAGAAGCCCCGGCUAACUUCGUGCCAGCAGCCGCGGUAAUACGAAGGGGGCUAGCGUUGUUCGGAAUUACUGGGCGUAAAGCGCACGUAGGCGGCAUUCCAAGUUGGAGGUGAAAUCCCCGGGCUUAACCUGNGAACUGCCUCCAAAACUGGAAAGCUCGAGUCCGAGAGAGGUGAGUGGAAUUUCCAGUGUAGAGGUGAAAUUCGUAAAUAUUGGAAAGAACACCAGUGGCGAAGGCGGCUCACUGGCUCGGUACUGACGCU